rnacentral:rRNA from 1 species
CCUUUAGAAUUUAAUUUAAGGUCUAAUCUGCCCACUGAAAAAAUAAAUGGCCGCGGUAUUUUGACCGUGCGAAGGUAGCAUAAUCAUUAGUUUUUUAAUUGAAAGCUGGAAUGAAAGAUUGAAUGAGAAAAUAACUGUCUCGAAUUAAUUUAGUUAGAAAUUUAUUUUUAAGUUAAAAAGCUUAAAUGAUAUUAAAAGACGAGAAGACCCUAUAGAGUUUGAUAAUUAAUUUAAUUUUAAAAUUGAAUUGUUUAUAUUAAUUUAAUUUUAGUUAAUUAUUUUGUUGGGGUGACAAAAAAAUUAAGUAAACUUUUUUUUUAUUUUAAUACUUAUAAGUAAAUUUUUGAUCCAAAAUUUUUGAUUAUAAGAUAAAAUUACCUUAGGGAUAACAGCGUAAUUUUUUUUGAGAGUUCUUAUCGAAAAAAAAGAUUGCGACCUCGAUGUUGGAUUUAAAUUAAGUUUUGGUGUAGAAGCUAAAAUUUUAGGUCUGUUCGACCUUUAAAACUUU